rnacentral:rRNA from 1 species
UACGUAGGGUGCGAGCGUUAAUCGGAUUUACUGGGCGUAAAGCGUGCGCAGGCGGCCCGUUAAGACAGGUGUGAAAUCCCUGGGCUCAACCUAGGAAUUGCGCUUGUAACUGGCGGGCUCGAGUACGGUAGAGGGGGGUGGAAUUCCUGGUGUAGCAGUGAAAUGCGUAGAGAUCAGGAGGAACACCGAUGGCGAAGGCAGCCCCCUGGGCCUGUACUGACGCUCAUGCACGAAAGCGUGGGGAGCAAACAGG